UUGUCACUCCCUCCGUCCCAAAAUUCUUGUCUUAGAUUUGUCUAAAUACUGAUCUAAGACAAGAAUUUUGGGACGGAGGGAGUAUUAU
rfam:Triticum aestivum genome assembly, contig: Triticum_aestivum_CS42_TGACv1_scaffold_095694_2AL